rnacentral:rRNA from 1 species
GAUGAACGCUAGCGGCAGGCUUAACACAUGCAAGUCGAGGGGCAGCAUACCCAGCAAUGGGUGAUGGCGACCGGCGGAAGGGUGCGUAACGCGUGAGCAACAUGCCCAUAUCAGUGGGAUAAUCCAGGGAAACUUGGUCUAAUACCACAUAGUAUCUUUUAGAGACAUCUUUAAAAGAUUAAAGAUUUAUCGGAUAUGGAUUGGCUCGCGUGACAUUAGCUGGAUGGUAGGGUAACGGCCUACCAUGGCAAUGAUGUCUAGGGGUUCUGAGAGGAAGGUCCCCCACACUGGAACUGAGACACGGUCCAGACUCCUACGGGGAGGCAGCAGUGAGGAAUAUUGGACAAUGGAUGGAAAUCUGAUCCAGCCAUGCCGCGUGCAGGAAGAAGGUCCUAUGGAUUAGUAAACUGUCUUUUGUACGGGAGCAAUAAGGGCUAUGCGUAGUUCGAUGAGAGUACCGUACGAAUAAGGAUCGGACUAAC